UUUGUCGAUUCUUGAUCUUAGAGCAUAAGCCAUUGGUGUUCUGUUCAGGAAAUUUUCCCCAGUGUCCAUGUGUGUAAGGCUCUUCCUCACUUUUCUUCUAUUAGUUUCAGUGUAUCUGGUUUUAUGUGGUUUUGAUCCACGUAGACUUGAGCUUUGUACAGGGUGAUAAGCAUGGAUCAAUGUGCAUUCUUCUUUCUACAUGCUGACCUCCAUUUGAACCAGCACCAUUUGUAGAAAAUGCUGUCUUUUUUUCCUCUGGAUGGUUUUAGCUUCUUUGUCAAAGAUCAAGUGGCCAUAGGUGUGUGGGUUCAUUUCUGGGUCUUCAAUUCUAUUCCAUUGAUCUACCUGCCUGUCUCUGUACCAAUACCAUACAUUUUUUAAAUCUCUAUUGCUCUGUAGUGUGUCUUGUCUAAAAAAUAUGGCAACAACAAACAAACAAAAAAACAAAAGCACAAUAAAAACACAAAACGAAAUAAAGAGCCUGUGGAUUGCUCAGCCCUCAGUGGGAUUCCCCCUUCCCUUAGACCUGGGAUCACUGUGAAAGAGGAGGUGGGAGGUUUAGAAGAGCCAGAGGUGGCAGGACAUUACUGGAAAGCAGUGUUUUCCAGACACAGCAGGGCCAUUUGUAUGAACUCAGAGCAGUGUUCGAGCCAGACAAAAUCCCAGCAUGCAGAGGUUGGAUCAGGCACAAAGUCUCAUUCCUAGCUGAGGAACUUUGGCAGUGGAUAACUGAUAACAGUCUCCUUAACAUGUGACCACAGGUAGUGAGAGGACGGAGUUAGCCAGAGCCAGGCUGACUCCAUGACAGGUUGCAAACCGGCAGUUUGGGAGACUAGGCCUAAGUUUCUGUUUUCCCAGAACUGGAAAAAUCCAAAACAAGACAAUUCCAGAAAUAAAAACACCGCUCAUGGGCUGCCAAUCAGUAGGCUGCCUCAUCACCUAGCUUGAGCCAAGAAUAGUUAAUCAGCAAAAGUCCCCAAAAUUUCCCAGAGCCUUAACCAGUCACAGAGGCACCCAUACCCAUGGAGGUAGAGCCAACCAAUGAAAAGAAAGAAAGGUAAAACUCACCCACUCCCCCUAACAGUCUUUAAAUUGCCCCUGCAAAGUCCACACCUCUGUCUUCAUCCUGAUGUAUGGUGGACCCCUGGAUGCAGGUUCUCUGCAGAAUAAACAAAGUCUCUUUGCUGAUGCGUACUCUUUGAGUCUGGGGUUCCAGUCUUCAGGAAUCGCCCUUAUAGCAGGCAUGCAACUCAAGAGGGCUGACAGCACCGUUAUUCUCCCAAGGCCUGUGAAUAAGGGGAAGAAUAACAAGACAAUUGAUCCUCACCUCAAGCGCAACCCCUGAAGGACAGGAAGACUGUCUUCCUGGAUAUUGGAUCCCACUACACCACGAUAGAGAAACUUUUCUAAACUGCUGGUUUUAACGUUGACUCUGUGACACCGAAUGAGGAACUUUCUCCAGAAUGCUGGGACUAAAGUGGAGCGCCACCACACAAAACUUUGAAGAACUUUUGAAACACGUUGUUGGGCUGGAGAGAUAGAUUCGGCCUGUAAAAUACUUGCCGUGUAAGUAUGAGAAGGGAGCACAUUUUAAAAAGCUGGGUGAGGGGUUUCUCAGCGUCUCCCAGGGGAGACUGACACGGAGUAGACUGGAUAUUCAGGAAAUGUCGGCUAAACAAAUAAGUUUCUUUUUUCUCAGUGUGGCCAAUGUGGUCAAUUCAGCAGCCUGAGGAUCUGCGAACGGCCCCAGGAUCUUCCCUAGGCCCCCAAGAAAAGGAUGUCAAAGGCUCUAAAUAGCCCUACUUUCCAAGCUGUUCACUAGCCUAGGGUGCAUUGAAACUUUACAGACGGCUUGAUCUUGGAAGCAGCCGGUUCCCGUGGCUGGCCUCCAGGGGGCGCGCUAGCCCCAGCCCGCGCCUGCUGUAAGGUGAAGCCGCUGCUUUCUGCGCCCUCUGCUUCUAGGGCAGAAGGCUGUAUCUCCUAAGUCCUGUUCUUAUCCAAAGGAGUAAAUGCAGGCUCACUGUAAGUAGUUGGCCUAGACAGACACAGCUAGAGGGAAUUAACCAUCUGGUAGCUAAAGUGUGCAGUCUGCCAAGGAACGAAGCAGCUUUUAGUCGCACGCUAAGCCAGAGCAGCAGCACAGGGUCACCUACGGGGCCAGACACAAAUCAGACAACAUUUUUUCUAAAGACCUAGGAAAAAAACCUGUUUGUUUGUUUGUUUGUUUGUUUGUUUACGUAUUUACUUUUG